AAACGCGGUUAAAGCGCAAGCGCAGAAGAGGCCGCUCCCGGUCGUCUGGACUAGAGCUGUGGGUGCCUUGGUGUCCUUGCACACCAGUGGGUUUUGACACCGUCUGUGCGUGUUUAUGUAUACGUACACGUGCGGAUUUACAUUAAUAUGCGGCAUAAGUACUGCCCAAUUUGUCCUUCCUCUAGCCGUCCCCACUUAACGCUGAGAGAAGCAUUUCUAGGCAUGGUUCACGCUUCUUGCAUUUUUUUUUUUCUUUGAACUGAAAACGAAAGAAACUCCUCGUUUCUUGAGUGGUUUCUGUAGCGGGGCUCAAACCGGAACGCCCAGCCUCUUUCUCUCGGUGAGGUGGGUGAGUCAGUAGUCCGCCCAUUUUUCACCCUGGGAACCAAGGCCAGCGAAGAGGUAAGACCAAACAGGUGAGGGACGCGGUCCCUUACUUUGUAGACAACAAGCCCGCGGCCGGUCUGCCCGAUCCCGAACCGCCUUUGCACCCACUGGCAUUCUCUCGAGGUGCUCUAAGAUUGUUCUAGCAUUUCUCUGGGCGAUCUGGCAGGAAGUGCGGUUCUGAAAUGACUGGAGAAAUCAACACUCAAAUCUGUCUCAUUGCCCCCAAACACGGGGGCACCUAGAGCUGUUCAAAAAAUGUGCCAAUUCCUUACACAACUUCGAGUCUCAUUUUAUUACACCAUCACUUCCUCGGGGCCUUCCCGCGGGGGGAGUGUGCGCUGCACCCCAAAGUGACCGAUACUGCCUGAGGGAUUUUAAAGUUCUUGGUCUACUGCAGAGUCCCGUAAAGUGUUAAAAUACCCAAGACCCUAAGUGCUCGCUUCCGCAGGCCGGGCGGGACUUGAGACCCGGCGGUAGGAGGGGCGCUCACUGCAGGCGGAAGCGCGCCCCAGGUGCGUGGAGGCUGACUGGGUUGCCGGCCUAGAGGCCCAGAGCGCCUCGGGCUUUUUGCUCUGAGUACUGUGUUUUCCCACGCCUCCAGCUUUGGAGCCGAAAGACUUCUCUCCAAAGGGCUUUUUGUGCAAGGACUCUUCUACAAAUAAAAUGCACUUGUUAGGAAGAAGAAUUUCUGUUGGCAGUACAAGGAAGGAAGAACAGUUUUGCCUUCACUUGGACUUUGACCAAAGGACAUUAGAAGCCUUGGCAUGAGACCCAAAUGAAGGGAACCUUAAUUACAGAAACCAGUCAAAUACUUCACUCAAGGGUCUAUAUGCUCUGAGAGUCUGGGAAGAGAGUGCAGUGCAAAUGAAGAGAACCAGAUUUCCCACGCUUUGGUGAGGUGAGUGUUGGAGGAGAGCACUAGGGCACCACAUAAAUGUUUGUGGGGCUGGGACCAUCCCUCAGCCCAGAGUAGGGGCGCAAGUGGGGUCAGUGCAGCUAAGAGAAGGGCACAGUGUUCUGGGGGCAUUGGGUACAUGGUAGGGACUGUCAGGAGGAAGUGGACCUUGCAGAGCACACAUCAGGUACCCAGGGGCUGCUGGGCUAGAAAGGCAGGAUAGGAGGAAGUCUCCUUCUAGGUGAGUAUUGAGUAUUGUUCUGUGACAUUCCCACUCCAGGCUGACGCAGCUUGGAGACAUCUGACCUGCAGUUGUAGAGCACAGAUUUGAUAUUUUACAACAAGCACAACAGUCCUCACCCAGGAUGAAACCCAUUUUACUGUGAGGGAAACAAAGGCACAGGAUCAUAUGGCUUUGUAUCUUUUUAAAAAGCUGGGUGAGAACUACCCCUUAAUGCUGGGCUGCUGCUCCAUCUGCCACUUGCCUGUAAAUUUUCUGCUCACCUUUGUCUAACAUGCAGAAAGACCGUCAAAAGAGUUAUGGGCUUCAGCCCAAGGGUGUUAAUAGUUACUAUCUUCUUUCUGGGCUUUUAUCAGGAACUGCUGUUCUCACAAAUCAAACUGUGAGAACAUUUGCCAGAGAUUUCCCAAGAGCAGACUUAACUCUUCCUGUUAUAUCAGAAUUAGCCUCUUUAGUUGUCUUUAUGCUUCUUGGGGUCUGGGGGGGCCACUAUGAAGCCGGGUCCAUUCUGUCCCUAGAAGCAGGUGCUCUGCUCUUUUGAUUCGAUGCCUGCUUCUCCAGUGGGUCCUGGCUGGGGUGGAAUGUUUCUGUGGCAGUUUGCCAACAGCAAGAAGACUAAGCAUGCCCUGAGAAUUUCCAGUUGUAGGGCUCUGAACCAAGUCCAGGGAGACUUCUACCAAGGAGAACAUUUUGAUUAUUUCUUUUGAUCUAAGUUUCUUCCUCCCCAUGUCCAUAGAUCUAAUCUGGGAAUUACUUUUGAUCUUGAAAGGUUUUUGCUUUUUGGACUUAUUUAGACCAGGUCUACCUUGUUUAUAAUGAGUAGGACAACAUUUUAUUGUAAGUAAGUGUUCAUCUAUACCCUAUACCUUAGGCACGGGACUAAGAAGGGGUUAAUGAGAAAAGGAUGAAAAGAACCAGGUAGGGUCUCCAGGAAGAUAAUCCCAUGAUACAUUGCCAAGUAUUGAAAAGACAGAGACUAAUACUGAGCAGAAUAGUGAAGAAUAAAGAGCUCUAUAUUGGCCAGUGUGACCUUUUACAAGGCGUUUAGUCUCUCUUGGCCUCAGUUGCAUGGUCUGUAAAGUGACACUAAUAAUAACUAACUUAGGGGCACCUGGGUGGCUCAGUCGGUUAAGCAUCCAACCCUUGAUUUCGGCUCAGGUCAUGAUCUCAUGGUUUGAGGGAGUGAAACCCCUCGUCUGGCUCCAUGCUCAGCAUGGAGAUUCUCUUAAGAUUUAGAUUCUCUCCCUCCCCCUCUCUCAGCCCCUCCUCUGCUGGCACGUGCACUCAUGAGCUCUCUGUCUCAAAAAACCCCAAAGAACAAAAAACAAAAAAACUAACCCAAGUAAAGGUAAGAGGUUCAACCUGAUAAAAAUCUGGAAUGACUUUCCUUUUCCUUAAAUACUUAAUACUGACAAUGCAUCUCAUUCAUUCAAUGAUUUACUAUUGCUUUAUACUCUCAUUCAUUCAUCCAUUCCUUCACUCAACAAAUACUCACUGAGCACAUAGUGUAUGAAAUUAAUGAUGCAUGAUACUAUGGGACAUAAAAGUGUCUGCCCUCAGGAAUUUCCAUUUUAAUUGUAGAGAGAAGACAUACAUGGGAAACUAUAGUACACCAGGAUGCUAAAUGCCAUCAGAAAGGUGCCAGAUGCUGGGGUGCCUGGGUGGCUGAGUUGGUUGAGUGUCCAACUCUUGAUUUCAACUCAGGUUACCAUCCCAGGGUCGUGGGACUUAGACCGGCAUUGGGCUCCUGGCUGACAGCUUGGAAACUGCUUGGGAUUCUCCUUUCUCUCUCUCUCUCUCUCUCUCUCUCUCUCUCUCUCUCUCUCUCUCUCACCCUCUUCCUCUGGCCCCACUACUCGUGUUCUCUUUCACUCUCAAAAUAAAUAAAUAAUCUUAAAAAAACAAAACAAAACAAAAAGAAAGGUGCCAGAUGCUAUGAGAGUUCAGGAAAAGAGAAAUGUUUCCAGGAGGGAAUUUCAAGGAAGACUCCAUGAAGGAUAAAGUGGUUGGCCUGAAGAAUAAAUAAGAUGUGGAUAGGUAGAUGUGGGGAAAAAUAUUCUGCAGGCACAGCAAAGGCCUGAGCAGAGAUCUGGACAGGGGGAUGUAGGGGAUGUGCUUGGGAAACUAAAUCAUCAAGAAAAUAAUUGGCAACCGUUGAAGCUAUUCAACUGGAAAACCAAUUGGAAGCCAACUGCCACAGUGUGAGACUGUGAGCACUUGAAAUCAAGGGGUGGGGGAGAAGAAGGUGUGGGUAUUGGCCAAGAAAGUACGACCAUGGCAGUGAAGAGGAAGGGAUGGGAGUGAAGGAAUCUGGGUGUCAGAAUCCUGAUAUUUGCCAUUUUUCUUCAAGGUUGGUGGUCACUUUCAAAGGCCUGCUGCCCCUCCAUUUUUAUAUUUGAAUAGCACUGGUUUCAAUGCCCAGUCAUCUGCUCAGAGGGAGUCAGAGUCUGGCCAGACAGCAAUACUGUUUGCAUCAUGAUCUUUAUUUGGAGUGAUAUUUGUAUUUUGCUUAAGCGUGCCAUUUUGCUCUAAAAGUCGAUGAGUGAAUCAACAACAUUUAUUUAAAACCCAUUGAGGUUUUAUGGUUUCUAUGUAGUAUCAACAAGAGUUUAUUGAGUAUCUCUGAUGUUUAAGGUGAUGUGAAGGGAGGGAGGAAAUGAUAGCUUGCCUAUAGGAGUUUACAAACUCAUAGUGGGGGGUGUGGAAAGCUGUUUAUGUAGAUUAAUUAUAUAAAAUGAGAUAUGUAAAAAGUACCAGGAAAUUAGAACAAGUUCAAAUGAGGAAGCAUCCGGGUCUUGCAAUCCCUUCCUUAAGGGAAGUUUUAGGAAGGAAGUGGACUUCCUAAAAUAAAAUAAAAUAAAAUAAAAUAAAAUAAAAUAAAAUAAAAUAAAAUAAUCUAACUGUAAAUGCUCAAGGAUGGGGAACCAGAUUGUGAUUUGGAACUAAAGAUCUACGCGGCAAUAGAUUUCGUAAGGGUGAGCUGCUUUCCAUUGUAUCUCCCGGGCCUUCACACUCCGUUUAGCCAAUUCCCACACCAGCUACAUUAACUUCUGCAGUCUGUUCUCCUUUAUCUGGGGAAGGACAGUUGUGGGAUGUGCCCGAUGAAUCAAGGAAUGAAGUUGGAGUAAACUAUGUGGUCUCCCAUUGGUAGGAUUUUGACAAGACUGUAGUUUGACAAUGAAACUGAUAUGAACGAAACAAAUAGUGCUCUCAGGGCCCUUCUCUGGCCUUUCCAUCCUUCAAAAUCAGUGUGGUUUGUUCAAAAUCCCACCUACUGCUUUUACCAAGACCAAAUUUACACACUCUGAGAAUGGAUUUCUCUUUGUGGUUUGUUAGGCCACUGUGGUUUCCCCUGCUGGAUUCCUUUUUGUGGUUGGAGGUCAAACCCUUUCUUGCCUGCUGCUUCCAGGAAUGUGCAGUGUGUGUCCCAGAGUGCUACAUGGGGAGGGUUUUAUUCUAUCUCUUGUGAAUGGAAUGGCAGUCAUCCAGCAGGCCUGGGUGCAUGUAUAAAUAGAGGGACACGUAAGCCUGCAUUUAAUAUCCAGAACAUGAACCAGCCUCCAUGGUGUGUUACCCCAUCAUAUUUUGAUGAAAGGCUGCUGACAGCACCACAGACCAUGCCAUGGGGCCCAGCAAACCACCUAAUCCCACUGCUUUAUCCCAGGCAUAGAUGGGGGCAGAUUUCCCUGCCAGGAACAAUGUCUUUCCAGCUACCAGCAGCUCUGAGUUGCUUUGGCUCUUCCUACUUCUGUCACCCAUUACUCAUGACCCUUGGUCAGAGAGGCCAGGGUAAACAUGGGAAGACCAAGAUGUACAGCUAAACCCCAAAUCUUUUAUUUUAUUUUUCUUGAGGUAGAAGAUUUCAACUCAGUCACCUAUGAAUCCCUUGGACAAUGGAGCUAAUGUCAAAAGGGCCCAUUGAGGGGCACCUGGGUGGCUCAGUUGGUUAAGCAACCGACUUCUGCUCAGGUCAUGAUCUCAUGGUUUGUGAGUUUGAGCCCCAUGUUGGGCUCUGUGCUGACUGCUCAGAGCCUGGAGCCUGCUUUGGAUUCUGUUUCUUCCUCUCUCUCUCUGCCCCUCUCUUGCUGUGCACACGCUCUCUCACUCUCAAAAUAAACAAACAAACAAACUUAAAAAAAAUAAAAGGGCUCAUUGAAAGUUCAGCAUUUCAGAUCUCCUGCCUGACUUCCUACAAUGUGUCACAGCAGACCAUCACUUCCUGAUCUAUGCAGCAUGAAAUAUGAAUUCCUGCCAUUCAGAUUCUUUACAGUCUGGUUCCAAUACUGUUCCCAUCUUAGAACUAGCCACAUCCUUACUUUAGCUUCUGCUUAAUUGGAUUGCUUUACUUUCUAUUUUCCUAGGCCACUUCUGUCACUAUGCCACUACUGUACUGAUCUCUCCUAAAAUAGCUCCCCUUCUCUCUGACUGUUCAAAGGCUUUCUAUCCAUUAGGAUGAAUUUAAUUCCAGGACCUCCAUGGCCACUCUCAUCCACAGGUAUCUUUCUCUCUAUAGCAUGCCUUGUUUUGACUAUUUACUUAAUGCCUGAUUGUAUGUAUAUGUCAUAACCUAUAGGCUUAUAUGCUGAUUAGAAUUGGCAGAUUUUAGAUUGGAAUUCUAGUGUCGCCUGGAAUGGAAAGCCCAGGAAGUCAAGGGUCAUGCAUUAUCUUCUUUGUGACUCCUAUAGUAUUAAGUAGUAUGUCCUAUAUGUAAGAGGGGCCAGGAAGUACUUAUUGAUUGAAGGAAUAAUAAUCCACUAUUGAAAAAGCAGAGCCUUGGCAAUAUUUAUUAGUGAAUCCAGUGACCUUUCAAGGACAUUCUCUGGCUAAGCAGUGCAAUAUGAGGUAAUAAUUAAAGUUAUUCUCAGGUCCCAAAGGGAGCUCAGAGAAUAUCACUCCAUUGAAGUUCCCUGGAGCCUUCUAGAAUGUCAGCUUAACCCAGCUUCCAUGUUGGGUUGCUUCCACAGUUUUAGAUUUCUUGGGAUUCUAUGUUAUGAACUCAGAAGACCUGAUUUUUAUGAUUGUCAUCCCAAAAUAGCCUUCAUAUUCAUACUCACAGGGAGAAGACACCCAGUGGGAGACAUUUCCAAUCCUUCUCUUCCCACUGCUGAGACUGGGCAAAAGGGUGCUGCUGUCCAUAGACCGUGUCUGUCCUGCCCGGAGACUGAUGGCAAGUGUUCUGUUGUUUCUAUCCUUCCCAGCACUGUCUGGAUUUGAUUCUCCCCCCUCCACCCCAUGUAGGUCAUGGAGUCUGAACUUAGGGUGGAGACCUAAGUAUUAGAAAAUGGGGAGCCCAUUGACUCUUGGUCCAAGAGUUAUCUAGUCCAGUAAUGCUGAUGUACACACACGCACUUGCACACACACAUACAUGCACACACAAUGCAGGCUCAUUGUCACACAGUUCAAAAUUGAAAAGGCACAAAAGGGCAGAGAGUGAAGUCUUCCAGCAUUCCUGUUCUCCCAGCUUCUUAGUCCCCCCUGUCGAGUUAACCAGUGUUUGCAGUGUCUUAUAUGUCCUUCCAGACAUACUUUAUAAGUACAUUAGCAAAUAAUACAUACAAACGUAUGCACAUACACCUUGUGGUUUUUUCAUCUUUUUAAAUGGCUGCAGAGUAUUUCAUUGAAUGAAUUUCCACAAUUAAUGAGUCCCAUCUGGAUGGGCAUCUGGUAGUUUCCAGUCUUUUGCUACUAUAAAAAAAUAAAAUUGACGUUUAGUCCUCAAAUCUUAUGUUUAUUUCCCAAAAGCUCAGUACUCAGAGGGGAGAGGAGUGUGGUCUGCACUUUACAUGGCACUGUAUUUAAAGUCCUGGACCACUGAGUCAAACAUGUCCAGGCUUGCACUUUUGUUUUAAUUCUCUCCAAUGUGCCAUCAUGCAGAGAAUUAUGCUGUGAGUUCUGGUGUUCAAUAAAUUAGGUAAGUUUAUUCUUUUCUUUCUCCUCUCUGCCUACAUCCUCCUCCAACCCAAGGGUUUGUUUGUAACCAGAGUGCCUUUCCAGCAAGUGGUGCCCCCAAGCUCCUAAUACUUAAAGCACUGAAUUCCCUCCAUUUCUGUAGAAUGUGAUAAUUGGCAAAACACCUUCAUAUAACAUUCUUUCCUUUGAUUCUUAUGCAAAUUUUCUAAGGACAUUUUCUAGAUGAAGAAACUGAGGCUCAGAAGGACUAUGUGGCUUGCCCAUGGUCACCUAAUUGAUGAGUGACAGGCACAAAACCUGAAGCCAGAUCAUCUAAUAUCAGCCUACUUCUUUCUAAUACACACAUGAACCCCUUUGCCAUAUAUGUGACAUCAGAAUCAGUGGGCAGUUUGGAAUAUGGUGGGAGACUGGAGUUCUAGCAAAUUCACCCCCAAAUUUCAUUUCCAUCAGCAGAUAUAUAGAGACUAUUCAGACAAGAGGAAUUAUGGACUAAUUUACCGGCAUCGAUAGAAUAUCCACUGAGGUAGUUCACAACAUGAUGAGGGCAUUGCCAGUUGUCCAGGGAGUGGGAGGAAGUAUGGUGGGAGAAGUACCAGGGCUGGAAACCUUUGAUCUUGAAGUACAGGUUUAAUGUGGAAGUCAGGGCAUGGGCUUGCAAGACAGGGGACAGGAAGAGAGGCAAAGAAUACAUGCAGAUCAAGUAUCUGCUGUGCUAUGCUCACCCAUUGAUCACUCACCAAACUUGGGAAGGAUCCAUGCAGAGGUAUGACAAGGGUGCCCUCGUUUUCUCAGUGAGUGACAGUGUGGGGUGAUGGUGGUGCUGGAGUGGUGGGACUAUCUCUACUCCACCCAACAGGUAGGGGGAGUUCCCCAGGGUGGCAAGGGGCUGUGUAACUGGUGACACCUAGUGCGGAGUGGUAGACACCAAACUUGUCACAACAUCCUCCCUCCAGGAAGGAAGGACUCAGGUCAAGCUCAUAUAUGUGGCUCUUUCCUCUCUUGGAUACAUUUUUUUCCAGCUCCUAGGAGCUCAGGCUUCUGGCAGUUUUAUGCAUCUGGUCGCUAGGCAUCUUCAGAUGUGCCACCUCUGCUGCGGUGUCUGAACAAGGUCCAGUGCCACUGCCCCAAGGUGGCAGGGAUGUGGAAGAAGACAGGAGCACUGGACACACUCCUGAAGGGGAAAGGGGAGCUUUCCAGGGGCCACCAUUGAGAGAGACACAGGACACAGAGGUAGGGGCUGGGUUAUUACAGGCUCAGAUGCUAUGCCAAGGGCUUAGGAAAUUAUUCUAGAGGCAGAGGGAAUCAUGAAAGAACUUUGGGGAAAGGAAUAACAAGAUUAAGUAUGCAUUUGAGAGACACCACUCCAUCAGCAAUUCACUCAUUUGUUCCCUGAACACUGAGAGCACACACUAUGGAUCCCACCCCCGAAUUCAUAUGUUGUAGCCCCAACCUCCAGUGUGAUGGUAUUUGGAGAUGGGGCCUUUAGGAGGAAGUAGGUUUAGAUGAAGUCACAAAGGUAGGGCCUUCAUGAUAUUUCUGUCCAUAUGGGAAGAGACUCCAGAGAGCUUGUGUUCUCACUCUCUCCCCAGAAUUGUGUACAAAGGUGGCCAUCUACAAGCCAGAUAGUAGGUCCCCACCAGGACUGAUCAGGCUGGCACCCUGGUCUCUCCAGAAACAUCUGUUGUUUAAGCCACCCUGUCCAUGGUACUUCAUUAGGGCAGCCCGAGCCAAUGGAGACAGCACACAACCAGGUGGCUGGCACUAUCUUAGCUCUGGAUAUCCAGCAGUGAACCAAGAGUCCUCAUCCUCAUGGAGGUUGCAGUCUAGUUGGGGAGGAGAGGGAGGCAUGGCAUGAACAAUGCACAUAAGACAUUUGCAAUUACUUUUAUGAAAGAGAGUAAUGGGGCCUUAUUUAGACUGGGGAAAAUGGGGGAGGACUUCCUGAGGACAUGACUUUCAACCUGGGACCCUAAGGAUGAGUCGAAGAGAGUCAGGAAUGGGCAGAGGAAAGAACAUCCCAGGCUUGGGAAGGGCAUGUGUAAAGCCCUUGGAUGAGAAAGGGCUUGGUGAGUAACUGACAAGACACAAAUGUCACCAGAGGAGAAGAGUCACGUAAAAUAAGACUGGGAGCUGUUAUGGGAUAGUACACUUAGGAACUUGGUGGUCUUGUUAAGAGUUUUAGAUUUAGGGGCACCUGGGUGGCUCAGUUGGUUAAACAUCAGACUCUGGCUCAGGUCAUAAUCUCACAGUUUAUGAGUUUGAGCCCACUUCAGGUGAGCCCCACUUCUCUUUCUCUCCUUCUCUCUCUCUCCCUCUUUGACCCUCGUGGGAUUCUCUCUCUCUCUCAAAAACCAAAAAGAGUUUUAGAUUUAUAUUCUUCGUGCAUUGAUGAGCCAUUAUAAGGUUUAAAUGAAAUGAAGUGAUCCAAUUUUCAUAUUUAAAAGAUGACUCUGAAUAAUAUGAGCAUCAGAUUGGAGGGAUGUCAAACAGAAUGAGACAGGCCUAUUCUGAGGGAUGUAGCCAUCCUAGGGGUAUGAUGACCCUGAGCAGCAGUGGGAGUAGAGGGGAGUGGUUGCAUUUGGGGGCCAGUGGAUAGGAUGGGUGGGAAGAAGGAGAAACAGAGGAUAGGUCAUAGUCACAGCAGCUGGGAGGAAGAGGGUGAGUUUGAGGACACUGAGUCUGGUGGAAGUUGGAAACACAUGGGCCUGUGUUUCAGGAGCCAGCUCCAGCCAGAAAGCAGUGACUACAGCAGGCCUGCCACUGCUGUCCUUAGAAAGACCUGAUUGCACGGUGGGCCCUUGGCUGGUGUCUGAGAGCUUGGCUCUCAGAGUGUCCCAGUCAACAGUUGACUGAUAAGGCCAGUUCCCUGUGGCUAGACUGUGAAGACAAUAUGAUUUAGGCUGAACACCUACUUUCCUUCUGGAAGUCUGGAAUUUUUGUACGUGCUAGGCAUAGGUAGCUUAGUAGACUGGCCACCAAUUAAAACAUUGGGCACUGAGUCUCUCACGGACUUCCCCAAGCAGAAACAUCACACACAUGUUUUAGAGAAAGACUAUGCUUUGUGUAUCCCCUCAUGGAGGAAGAGAGCACAAAGAAGCCUUAUGUGGAUUCUUCUAGACUCUGACUGUGUCUUUGUCCCUUAUAAUUCAGCAGUGUCUCUGCAAGAAACCUCAGCCAUGAGAACAGCUACAAGCUAAGUCCUGUGAGUUCUUCAGUGUGUUUCCAAAUGUGGGGUGGUCUUGGGGACCCCUGACACAGCCUCAGGAUUUAAAUUUGGAAGUGAUCAGCAUGUGGAAAAAACUGAAACAAUGGGAGCAUAUGAGAUCACCCAGGAAGACUGAAGACUGAGUAGAACCCUGAGGAUCUCCACAACUAUGAAGGAGGGCCAGAACUCAGGAAGUAGGAGAGAGGAAUGUCUGCUGAAUUUAGCACAAGGUCAUUGACAACCUUGGCAAGUCAGUCCCUGUGGGCAGUUGUGGAGAGAGCUGGAUUAUUAGGGGAUGAGGGGGAGAGCAAUUCUCCCAAGCUUGACUAUAGAAGGAGCAGAGAGGAACGUGGGGGGUGAUGUAAAUGUAUUGAGGUAGGAAAAAACUUGAUCAUUUGUUUCUUCAUUUAUAAGGUGCUUGCUUUAUGUAAGCCAACACAACACUGCUGUGGGUCCAGCAGAGAAAACAGGAAGGACUCCCAGUGUGCUGCAUAUUUGAAAUGUGAACUGCACAAUGCCAUGAAGGUGUUUAACCCAGCGUGGGGGCUUCUUUGAGGAAGUGACCUUGACUCUGGAGCUUGAAGACUAAGUAGGAGUUUGUUGAAGUGAGGAGAAGAGAAAAGGGAAAAAGGACUUUUCAGGACAAGGGAAUAAUGCAGAUGGAUGUCCAGAGGGAAUGAAGAGCGCACACUGAGCGAGGGGAGUGUGAAGAGAUAGGGCUGCAACAUGGCAGCAGCAAGAUGAGGCAGUGCCUUCAGACUCUCAUGGGAAGGAAGCAGCAGAGAGGUAGAAGCUAUAUCUACAGGAGAGGGCUUGAAAAGAUGGAGAGCUGUGGUUUCCAGAAAGAAUUAAUUCUGAUAGUAGGGAAAUACCUUGUCAUGUAACAGAAACAGGAAGAAAGGAUGAGUUUUAAAAGAACAGGUAUAGCCAUAGGUAAGGCCUUAGGAUUGGUGGCAAGAAAUUGAGCAUUCUUGUAUGAUGGCCUUCAUUUUUUUGUAGGGUAUGUUUUUCUCCCCUCCCACCCAUCCCCUUUCUUGAGAUCUAGCAUAUUUUGAGGCUGAGGAAACAGAAGGGGCCUUUGGUAAAUAACUCCAGGUGGAGAAGAGGGGGACAUUCUUUCAGCAUUACAGCACAUCAGAGAUAGGCUAGCAGGAGGCCAAAGUUAGUGUGGUGGAGUCUAUUGUCUUUAAGAUAUAUUAUCCUUGGACCUAUCCCUGUGAGGGCUUUUUCCUUCUUCACCUCCUCCACCCUUGAGAUCUGAAGCUCCAUGUAGCGGUGACUCUACAUGGAAUGGAAUGACUGAUAAAUCCCGCCAGGGGCCAAGCCCAAGAAAAGGCAUUUCUCUGGAUAGAAAAGGCACCAAGUGGAGAACAGAGGGGUCAACAAGGAUGAUGGGAUGGGGAAAUUGAGCCAUAUGUGAGUCCUGGAUGUCUAGACUUGAUAUGCCAUGACCUUUGGAAGAGUUGAGAGAUUAAUUUAAUAAGGUAGAGAGAUUAUCUUCUGUAUCUUCACCUUCCUGUAGACUUGACAGCAAUUGGAAUAUAGCUUCUGAAUCCAAAAUAAGGUAGAAUUCUAAUGUUCCUUUAGAUUCAUGUCUGUACCUUGACCUGUUAAUUGUGAGACUGUCCUCUCUCUCCCUUCUAUCAUGGGAGAUGCAGUUUUGGGUACCACUUGGUAGUAGGAGGUAAGGUCAUAUACUCAUAGUAAGGGGAAAUGUGGUAGGAUCAUGAGUUUUAGGACAGUGGAGAGAGUGUACAAGAAGCCUGCUUAGGUUGCUGGUCAGAAUUUCCACUGGGGCCCCAAACUCUUUAGUGGUACCUGUGUGAUUUCCCUCAGUGUUGUGGAGCCUGGUUGUUAACAUGAUGAUGAUGGGCAUGAAGCAGACAGUUGAGGGGUUCUGGAGUGAGGCUCUGCUUGUUGAGCUCCACGGAAUGUCAAUGGGACAAGGAAGUUGGGGCUGUUAGGCAAGACUGAAGUGGAGGUGAGGGAACAUGGAAUCUAAAGCAGCACAAGGAAAGACAAAGUGGAGACAGAGGAGAAAUAAAGACACAGGAAUGUGUAUAUAAGGAGGUAGUCAAAGAUCUGGGGGUCCCUUGAAUAAAUUUAAUGGGAGCUGGUGAGAGAUCUGGAAGGAUAGGAAAUUGUGGUCGGUAGUAGGAUAUUUAAGUUUAUGACUUCAGAGAUGGAGAAGUUCUGAGUAAUAAGCAUGUUCAGGAUGUGGCCUUGGGAGGGCCCACAUUGACCCUUGUCAUCACUGGACCCUCUCCCUGAUCCCAUGUUCACAUGGCUUUUCUCCCUCCUUUCAGCCUCUGAUGUGCCUCCUACCUCAGCCUACCCCUUUCCCACUUUCUGGUCCAGCAAGAGGAACUCACAGCAUCUUUUCUUCCGGAGAAAUUCAUUCCACAUGUGUCUGAUUCAUUUGCGUUUACUGAAACUCAAAAUCUCCAGUGUCCAAAAACUCUUUCAACUGUUUUUUCCCCUGCCCUUUCUUAGAAACAGGAAGUUGUGUUUGGCUGAGGACAAAGUCUUCCAGUGCCCUUGGGACUUACAAGAUGUUUGGGAAUGAGGAACGGUGAGGUCUGGGGAAGGCUUCUUUAUUCUCACCUUUCCUGGGGCAAGGGUGUAUCUGUCUGUGGUAGCCUGGGCAGCUCAUGGGGAUGGAAGACUAGCCAUAACUUUCCUGUCUCUUCCCACUGAGCCCAAGACCUGAGGGAAAGCAUGUUCUAAAAGAGACAGGUGGCUUUGAAUGCUCCUAUAUUUCUCUCUCCCUGCACUGGCAUCUACUGUUCAGAAUAUACUUGGAUGUUGGUUCUCACCUUUCUCUUCCCAACACUUGGACAGUGUCUUUGAGGAGCUUUUCAAUCUAGUUUUUGAGGGGUGUGGGCUGGCUGGCACUCAAUUUUAAGUGAGAAAGGCCAACUGUAUCUUCAGUGGGAUCUCAGAGAAACUCUCCAUCUGAAGAAGAAUGAACCAGACUGUGAUUGUGAUAAGUCUGCCCAGGUUGUUGGCAGGCGUUAGCCUAGAAAGCAGACAGGUGCCUGGGAAAGGCUGAUGGAGUGCCAGUGAGGCAAGGAAAGCAUGGAGGUCACAACACCAGCACUCUGCUCACUCAGCGCUCCAACAUUUAGCUCCCCUGAAGCGUGUUAUUUUGUGCCAUCUAGAAUUUUUUCAGAUGUAAGGCAAAUAUGCCCACAAUAUAUCACUUGAGUGAUUAUUGAGUGAACCAGCAAAAAUGUCAGUUUAGGUGAGUGACUUCUGUCUCUCACAGUCCAUAGGCAGCUUUCUUGAAGGACCACAGGAAAACACGCUGUGCCAGAAGGCAGCUUCUCAUAGACAUACCGUCCUGCAGCCAAGGGCCACUAAAAGAGAGCAAACCCAUUUGUAUUUCUCAAGGGCAGGAGUACAGCUGUGUCCCUCUCUUCCUCUGUCUCCUGACUGAACUGCACCCAUGGGCAGUGCCUUGGGGUGCAGCAUGCUGGAUGGAUACACUUCCCUUUUCUUAGGGCAUCCCCUCCCACUCUACACAGAGCAGAAUCAGGGCGGAGAAGGACAGGUGUCAGGGGCAGUAGCUUAAUCUUGCCUAAGAUGUUGCCUUCCUCGUCUUCCUUCCUCAUGCUUAUCCCACCUCAUGUUUUGUUUUGGCUGCAUGUUCAGUAAUCUGGCUUCGAUGGACUGAAGAGGCACAAGGAAGUGAUAAGGCUGUGGUAGCUGAAAUCUGGAAACCUGAGGGUGAUACUACAUUUGAUUCUCUUUGGUAGAUUCCGUAUUUCUUUCACUCUUACAAACAACUCCUCAUUUCCAACAGUGAAAGGGACACGGCUGCUUACUGGAGGGGCUUGGUGAUCUGCAGCAGAGCAUGUAGAGAGCAGAGAUUGCUGUGGGCUCACAAGCCUCUUUUCCUACGACCAGGGGAGACUCAGACCCUGGGAGUCCUGGGCUAUGUGUGAAAGCAUAUCGCCUUACCACUUUACAGUCUCAAGAAUGCAGUGGUGACAAAGCCUCUCUAAUUGCCCUGGACCAGAAGUUGAAAAUAUCAAGACCAAGCAAAAGCCAACAUAUGCUUAAAAAUUUUCCUAUUGUUCAUGUCUUUUUUUUUUUUUUUUUUGGUUGUCGGUGGGGAGGCCUGGAAAAAAUGAAGAAGGAUCCAGAGGAAAGCAAGAAGAACUAUAUGUUUGGAUGCGUGGAAAGAAGAACAGUCCUUAUUAUGAGGGCCCACUGGUUAAAAACCCCAAACACAAAGAACCUAGUGAACAUAUCAGAGGGACAAGAUGUUGGGUUAGUGGGAAGAUGGUCCCAUUGUCCUUGGACAAUGUUCCUGGGAGGGGGAUGGUUUGCUAAAGUGGGCUGGGGAACAAUAAUGUUGCAUAGUUUUAUAAAUUCACAAAUCCCUCUGGUCAGCUACAGGGGAAUAAAGGGCAGAGAAUAAACCCCAGGCAAGGAUUCACUUACAUUAAAGAUGAAAGAAAUGAACUUUGAUGCUAAUGUACCACCUCUGAAAUAUUUCUGGCAGGUGUUCAGAGGAUCCAGAUGAAUGACCAAGCUACCUGCCGCGUCAGGGCCUUAGGGACUUUAGCAAACACUAGUACCAGUUUCCAUCAGGAGCACUAGCAGGAAAACGCAAACUCUCAGCAGAGGAAAUGUAGUCUUCCCUUCUCGGGGCUCCAAGGGUGGUUGAGGUUGGCCAGGGGAAAUAAUGGUGUGGUCUCUCACUGCAGAUCUAUUUUCUGAGUCCCUGCACUGCAGCUGUUGAGUUUCCAGACACAAACAAGUAUGUAUUCUGUGAGCCUGGCCGAGCCCACACAGCAAGGAAGAGCCAAGCUGGAUUCCAUUCUGCUUUGCACAUCGGCAGCUCUGCUGCCAGCUGAACUCCAGGGCAAACGCAGUCCCUGCUGCGUAGGGUUGGCACAGCUAGACUGCUCUGGGCAGCGCAUGGGGGACACGCUUGGCUUUGCUUAUUCUAGGGAGGGUGAGAAAUGGAAGGAGAUGAGGAGUUGCAGAAACAUACAUCAGUCUCAACAAAACUGGUGCAUGGCAAGGAAGAAUCUGGUUUUACUAGCCGUCAUCGACAUGCCUGUGUGUGUGCUUGUUUAUGUUUAGGUAAGCCUGGCCUCCCCCUCACUAGAGUCAGCAGAUAGGGAGAAAGUGGUUAACUCCAUGUGGAGCUGUGCACCACACGGAGCUGACCAGCAGCGACCUGCUGAGGGCACUGUAGGGGCCAGAAUCCAAUUUAUUUCGUUUCCUGCUCCCAGGGCGAGUCCUCCCAGAGGGCACCGUUUCCUCACUCACACCAGGGCUCCCUAUAGCAUCCUCUCUGCCCAUGUCACUAGUUAUUUGAGUGAGUCUUGAGAGAAAGCAAAAGGGAGGGACAAAGGGGUCAAAGUGAUGAAAAAUGGAAGAUGUGAAUUUAUAUGUGUUCCUUCUUUUCACUACAAUGUCACUUCUUGAUGUCGUCUGUUUCAUUGUACCCAUUAAUGAGCAAGGACUGAGUUCCCUCUCCACUAGACCAUAUGGAAGACUGAACCAGGAAGAGGUGAGGAGAUACAGAGUGGAAGGUGGGAUUCUGGGGCUCUCAGGUAGGGUUUAGGUAGCAGGUGGGGGAUGCAGUUCCAUGUAGAAAGGGCUGAUUGGGACCAUUGCAAGUUGUUGGGGCCAGGAGAGUGGUGAGGUGGAGAUAAAGUCUGAUGUGGAGAGAAGGCACUGAGGUCGUUGGCAUGACAGUGCUUAGAUAUGGGUUCAGCUUUCCUCAGGUCCGCAGAGAAUCUGGUAUCUCUGGCUGGUCAGUAUAUCAAAGGGAGGCUGUGUAUGUUUGCAAAAUGGAAUGGGAUAGUCUUUCUCAAGAAUAAUGAACCCAGAGGCAUCUCACAGCCACUGUUACCUCAGAGUUGGAUAUUUCCACCAGAGCAGUGGUUCUCAAACCAGUAGUCUCCACAUCACCUGGGAACUUGCUGGAAAUGCAGAUUCUCAGGUUCCCUCUCUAACCCACUGAAUCAGUAACACUUGGGGUAGGGCCCAGAAAUCUGUAUUUUAAGAAUCCCUCUGGAUGCCUGCUCGAAUUUGAGAAUGACUGGUCUAGAUUAUGAUGAAGAGUUGCCUGAAUGAGCUGGAUUCAGCAAGAGGAAGGCCUGAGAGACCCAGGCAAGGUGCCAGCUUCCCUGUGUGCGUUCAAGGUCAGCUGACCUAGUUUUAGCCUCCGUCCUUGGGCUCUGGGUCCUCUGCCUUUUCCAAAGAAAUAGUGAACCAGAUCAGACCACUGCAUUGGCACAAGAUCACACUUUAGUUCAGAGACACAUUUGCAUAAAUACUUGAAAUGGACUGCCCCUGCAGGUGCAGCCUGAGACCCUGCACGGCUCUCCACAGUCCUGCAACUCUGCAGCCCUUUAGGCAAUGGAUUUUAAUACUGAAGACAGUUAAGGUCAUUUCUGAAGGUGGCUCGGGGGUGCAGCUGUGGAGCUUUGACAUUAGCCAUCAACCCCAUACUCCGAGUCUCUGUUUUACUAAUUUUUUCCCCCUGAGGUAGAUUAUUUAUCGGGGAAACCAAAUAGGAAAAACUUUUUUUCAUUUAACUCUACUAGUCCUUUGCAAACAGGCUGAGUCUCCUGUUUGGGUCAAUAAGUGUUUUUUUUUUUUUUUUUUUUUUUACCUUUUAACCUAUGUCCUCUACCUGAACC